UGGGGAAUUUUGGACAAUGGGCGAAAGCCUGAUGCAGCCAUGCCGCGUGUGUGAAGAAGGCCUUCGGGUUGUAAAGCACUUUCAGCGAGGAGGAAGGUGGUGAGCUUAAUACGCUCAUCAAUUGACGUUACUCGCAGAAGAAGCACCGGCUAACUCCGUGCCAGCAGCCGCGGUAAUACGGAGGGUGCAAGCGUUAAUCGGAAUUACUGGGCGUAAAGCGCACGCAGGCGGUUUGUUAAGUCAGAUGUGAAAUCCCGGCGUCAACCUGGGAACUGCAUUUGAAACUGGCAAGCUAGAGUCUCGUAGAGGGGGGUGAGAAUUAUCCCAGGUGUAGCGGUGAAAUGCGUAGAGAUCUGGAGGAAUA
rnacentral:rRNA from 1 species